AGGGGUUCUGAAUUUUCCUCCAGCACUCUCUGCUUCUUCCCCUGGUGACUGAUGAAGGUUUUGGCAUUUUGCCUUCUGAAUUUUCUGAGAACUUGUCAUGGCUCAAAACAGCGGAUAUACCUAUUCCUCCAAAUUUCAGAGGCCCAUGCUCUUCUCCAUGUGCAGACCAGCUAUGGGAAUGGACUCUGCCCUUUCUUUGAUUCUCCCCAUUGCAUUUUGCUGCCUUCUCUUCUCUCACUUAGUUCCAAGAUCUCCAGAUGAAACCUCUCUGAGUGGUGUUUUGGGACUGGGCUUGGAGAAGAUUAAAAACCAAGGGAGACUCUCUUCAGAAUCUUCCAGCUCUUUUCUAAGUCUUCAAAGCUAGAAAAUGCAGUCUUACUGGGAACAUUCUACAGUUUGGUGGGAAUGUAGAUUUGUAUCAUCUUCU
rnacentral:lncRNA from 1 species